rnacentral:rRNA from 1 species
AGAGUUUGAUCCUGGCUCAGGACGAACGCUGGCGGCGCGCCUAACACAUGCAAGUCGAACGGAGCUGAGAGGAGCUUGCUUUUCUUAGCUUAGUGGCGAACGGGUGAGUAACGCGUGAGUAACCUGCCCUGGAGUGGGGGACAACAGUUGGAAACGACUGCUAAUACCGCAUAAGCCCACGGAUUCGCAUGGAUCUGCGGGAAAAGGAUUUAUUCGCUUCAGGAUGGACUCGCGUCCAAUUAGCUAGUUGGUGAGGUAACGGCCCACCAAGGCGACGAUUGGUAGCCGGACUGAGAGGUUGAACGGCCACAUUGGGACUGAGACACGGCCCAGACUCCUACGGGAGGCAGCAGUGGGGGAUAUUGCACAAUGGGGGAAACCCUGAUGCAGCGACGCCGCGUGGAGGAAGAAGGUUUUCGGAUUGUAAACUCCUGUCGUUAGGGACGAUAAUGACGGUACCUAACAAGAAAGCACCGGCUAACUACGUGCCAGCAGCCGCGGUAAAACGUAGGGUGCAAGCGUUGUCCGGAAUUACUGGGUGUAAAGGGAGCGCAGGCGGACCGGCAAGUUGGAAGUGAAAACUAUGGGCUCAACCCAUAAAUUGCUUUCAAAACUGCUGGCCUUGAGUAGUGCAGAGGUAGGUGGAAUUCCCGGUGUAGCGGUGGAAUGCGUAGAUAUCGGGAGGAACACCAGUGGCGAAGGCGGCCUACUGGGCACCAACUGACGCUGAGGCUCGAAAGCAUGGGUAGCAAACAGGAUUAGAUACCCUGGUAGUCCAUGCCGUAAACGAUGAUUACUAGGUGUUGGAGGAUUGACCCCUUCAGUGCCGCAGUUAACACAAUAAGUAAUCCACCUGGGGAGUACGACCGCAAGGUUGAAACUCAAAGGAAUUGACGGGGGCCCGCACAAGCAGUGGAGUAU